rnacentral:rRNA from 1 species
CACGGAGUUAGCCGGAGCUUAUUCUCCCGGUACAGUCAUUAUCUUCCCGGGUAAAAGAGCUUUACAACCCUAAGGCCUUCAUCACUCACGCGGCAUUGCUGGAUCAGGCUUUCGCCCAUUGUCCAAUAUUCCCCACUGCUGCCUCCCGUAGGAGUCUGGGCCGUGUCUCAGUCCCAGUGUGGCUGAUCAUCCUCUCAGACCAGCUAAGGAUCGUCGCCUUGGUAGGCCUUUACCCCACCAACUAGCUAAUCCUACGCGGGCUCAUCCCUGGGCGAUAAAUCUUUGGACCGAAGUCAUCAUCCGGUAUUAGCAGUAAUUCUCACUGUUAUCCCGAACCCAAGGGCAGAUUCCCACGCGUUACGCACCCGUGCGCCACUAAGGCCGAAGCCUUCGUUCGACUUGCAUGUGUUAGGCAUGCCGCCAGCGUUCGUUCUGAGCCAGGAUCAAGCUCGU